rnacentral:rRNA from 1 species
AUUGAACGCUGGCGGCAUGCCUUACACAUGCAAGUCGAACGGCAGCACGGGAGCAAUCCUGGUGGCGAGUGGCGAACGGGUGAGUAAUAUAUCGGAACGUGCCCAGUCGUGGGGGGAUAACGUAGCGAAAGCUACGCUAAUACCGCAUACGAUCUAUGGAUGAAAGCGGGGGAUCGCAAGACCUCGCGCGAUUGGAGCGGCCGAUAUCAGAUUAGGUAGUUGGUGGGGUAAAAGCCUACCAAGCCUUCGAUCUGUAGCUGGUCUGAGAGGACGACCAGCCACACUGGAACUGAGACACGGUCCAGACUCCUACGGGAGGCAGCAGUGGGGAAUUUUGGACAAUGGGCGCAAGCCUGAUCCAGCAAUGCCGCGUGCAGGAUGAAGGCC